rnacentral:lncRNA from 1 species
UGAAAACCUAGAGUUUACACUGACACUUUCAGUCCUAAUCUAAUCAAGAAGUUCCCUCUAGUACUCUACUUUUCUAUAUGAAUUUUGUAUAGAUAGUCAGAAACUCACUCUCACUAUCCUUAAAGUAUGUCUAAUCUGUUUCCUGGUAAGUAAAAUCUCUUGAUUCCAUGCCUUUUAACUGCUUCAGAUACUUUCAUAGCCUUGCUUAGGUUACAGCUAUGUUCCAGACUGGGCAUCCACACCUCUCCCUCCCCACAGUCAAUCUCCCAACAUCACAGGACUCUAACACCACAUUACCAGGCAUCAGACUAGGCAACUAUCAUCCCAUCCCUGCCUCUUGGACAUUUACUUCUUUUUAAAGUAAGGAGACAAGGAAAGAGGGCCUUCCUUACAUGGGGAAUAUACUCCACUGAGCUUCUGAGGAACUAACCCUGUGUUC